UUCUCGAGUACUUUCUCUCUCCUUAGUUCUCCACAUCUUUCAGUUCUCAAAUCUUCUCAUCUUUCGCUUCACUCAUCUUCGCCGCUUUCUCUCUCCUCCUGUUGCUCCACCGUCUGCCGAUUACCGCCGUCGCCACCAUCAGUCUCUCGGCCUUCCAUCGCUUUCCCAUCGUCGUGCGCUUCCGAUCUCUGUCUACCACUGCCGUCGCCACCAUCAGCUUGGGCUCAUUUGAGCGGUUAACCUCGCCACUGCAAAAACCUCCCCCGAAAUUGGAACUUCGAACGCUUCCCACCUGAAAUCGAAUACGAAGAGAAAGCGGUGAAUCUAAUUCGGAGAGUGGGUUUCUCUUGGGCGUUGGAAAGAGACGCGAAGAAGCAGAAGAAGGCGAAGGAAGCAUCGUCGCCGUCCACGUGGGAAGGAUUUGUUAUACCGACUAUGGAGGGCGAAAAUGGAAUUUAUUAUACUCAUCCUGAUAAAUUACCAGGUUUGUGAUUAUUGUUUAACAAGAUUUUGUUUUAAGGUUUCUUUUGAUUUGGAUGAUGUUUGGCGUGUGGCUAAGAUCGUAAUUGUCUAAUAAUUCAGUCAUUGCAUUUGUUAAUUUGGAUUUCAUUUGUUUAAGUUUUUGGAGGUGUUGUUGAACCUUUAGUUGAUAUAUGCAAUCGUUUGGGUUACA